rnacentral:rRNA from 1 species
CAGGUGCAUGCCUCUAGCAUGAAGUCAGAAAGUGAAC